UGUAGUACAAAACAUGUUAAAAAGACUACUUGUUGCAGAUUCAAGCAGUAGCAAAGCAUCGAAAUAUUUGGGUGGAGAAUGCUAAUAGAUUGGUUGCUGGUUUCCUUGAGAUGUUUGAAGAGGGUUGCCACAAAAUGUUUGCCAGGCUGAAAAAUUUUAGCACCUCGUGCACACAAAUCAUAUAUUUGCACUUCUGAUCAUGCAUAUUGGAUUUCAACAAGGAACUGUCAUAAGAGACUGAAUUCAAGAGCAGAUGAGAACCGAGAGUAUAAAAGAGAUUCUAUAUGACAAAGAAGAGGAUGAUGAUGAAUGUGACUACUAUUACGGAAGCAAUGACGAUGAUGAAGAAAACUACGAUGGUGAAGAAAUAGGGUUCGUCACUUUAUCAUGUUAUAUGGUGAGUUUCACAGUGUAAAAUGUAGUUUAUGGAUCAAGUUGGAUGAAGAUGUAUUAUGUCUAAUGGUUUGAUGCGCAUGCAAUAUGCGUGUUUUCUUUUGGUAGAAUGUAGUGGCAAUUAGUCAUGUUGUAAACUGUGAUCAAGCAUAGUCUUGUACCAUAACGUUGUCAAGCAGAGUGAUUUGUCUAAUAUGAGAUGGAUAAUCAUAUGUUCUUGAAAAUGCAAA